AGAUGACCCACGCUGAACUGUCCCGCCAAACUCAAUGACAGGGGGGCGCUACCAUCGUUCAACUAUAUGGUUUCCAACAUGGCAAAAAUCGGAACCAGCGAUUCGGUAUUGACGGUGGCGCCCCGCUGUCAGUGUCAUCGAUAGGACAGUUCAGUAUUUUGGAACUAUAGUCUCUAAUCCUGUAUGCUGUAGUGGUGCUGUAUGUCACAGAUGGAUGUAUUACUUUUUCUCUAUGGUGCUGUAGAAGCAGAAAGCAUUUAUCAAUUUUUAACAUUUGAACUAAACAUUUGAUCAUGUUUCGUUUACCGUAUGGCGAGAGAGUCGACCCUUUGGAAGAAAAGCGUCAAGCUCGGGAGAAUACAAUUAAUAGUGUUAUAACUUUCUGUGUGUUAUGUGCUGCUAUUAGAAUCGCUCCACUGAUCCUGGAACAAGGCGGUUUUCAAGUGUAACCAGAUAUGAAGUCAUUAUAAUUUUAUUAUAGUGUGUCGCUGUAAAAUUGUGAACUCCCAUCAGAUUAUGAUUUGACAUAGAUUAUUAUCUAACCUAACCCACUGUUUAGUUUACAAUCUCAUGCAAUAUAUUAUUAACUGAUGGGAGUUCAUGAUUUCACAGUGCUUUAAACACAUGUUACACACAUAGGUUUAUAGUAAAUGUAGUAAAUUUAUUGUAGUUGAAUUGUUGAUUUUAAAGAUAAACAAAAAAAACAAUGUGACAUAAAUAAUGGAUUUUAUUGUUCUAAAUAAAGAGACCUUUGCCUAUGAAA